UACGGAGGGUGCAAGCGUUAAUCGGAAUCACUGGGCGUAAAGCGCGCGUAGGCGGCCUUGUAAGUCGGAUGUGAAAUCCCACGGCUCAACCGUGGAACUGCAUUCGAUACUGCCUGGCUUGAGUACAGGAGAGGGUGGCGGAAUUCCCGGUGUAGGAGUGAAAUCCGUAGAGAUCGGGAGGAACACCAGUGGCGAAGGCGGCCACCUGGACUGUAACUGACGCUGAGGCGCGAAAGCGUGGGGAGCAAACAGGAUUAGAAACCCCAGUAGUCC
rnacentral:rRNA from 1 species